AGCAUAGGAUACAAGGUGGAAGGCUAUUAUAUAAACAAGGGUGCUUUGUUCUCACUGUGCCUUAACCAGGUAUUUGUACGGUGUAAAACUUGCAGAUACAACCUCUGUUCAAAUGGUGACAAAACCAUUCAUACUAAUUAAGUCACUCAUCAGCGGAAAUGUGAAGAUAACAACUUCCUUCAUUCGCUUCAACUCACCGAGUUCCUGACAAAUGAGGGGAACUUAGAAACUCUGAAAGUUCCAUUGCCAAUGUUGGUUCCCGACAGAUGCGAGAAUUGCUUUGGGAUUGGGUGUAUUCAAUCAGUAGCUAGCAACACCAGGACCUCUUUAAUCAACCAUCUUGGUUAUGGGAUGUGUUUAUGAAUUAUUUUUAGGAUGCAUAAUAAUAAAGGAUGUGUUAGUUUUUAGGACGUUUCGAUUGCUUUUCCACAGUUAUUGAAUGUACAAAAUGCAAUGCAUCUCGAAGCCCUACUGUAGCCGAGUAUGUUCUUUCUGGCUAUUGGCCGGGAUUGGUUACGAAUGAAAACUAUUUUUUUAAAGAGCAGUGGCUUCUAUUAUAUUACCACAUUCAUCACGAGACUAGUGGUUCUUCACAGCAAAAGAUUGUCGAAGCUAUAGCAGAAAUGUCUCGUCAUGAUGAUAGGGUUGGUUUAUUGUUAUAGUCUUUUAAAUGUAUCAAUAAUGUGAACAAAUUGUUCUAUUUAGAUCAAGUUCUGUUUGACAGAGCCCGUAAAGAGUUUGAAUUUAACCGUCUCACGGUCAAAAAAACUAUUACUUCGAUUUUUGGCCGGACGCAAAGUGACGCAAAGCUUGUGGUAUUGAUCCAGCUCUAGAGGAAGAAGAUCUGAUUAUGGGUACAAGAAAGUGGUGUUCGAAAUAACUAAAUAUAGUUUUCUAAUUAAAUUUUUUUUGUAGACUAAGAAAUGAUCUUAAUUUUUCUUAAUACAAAAUUACUUGGACGAUCGAAGAUUAUCCCUGAAGUGACGUAGAUAAAUCGGGUUUUUAUUCGUGGUUAAAACUUGAACUUGUAAUGGUGUCAAAGACUCCAAUCCUGUUAUUUUUUUACCUCCCACAAUCAUUCUUAACAUAUAUCCUGUGACUAAAUAGAAAAUAUUGAGCAGAUAAACAUGAUUUUUAUCUUGAGAGGAUUCGCCUAAUAUGAAGACUAUAAAUACGAAAAAGCUGUUUUAAUUUCCCGUCUAACUAUUACAGGAGGAAGAUGAGGUCUGCAAACUGAAAUUAAAUUCAAUUGCUAAGUCAAACCGCCCCCCCCCCCC